rnacentral:lncRNA from 1 species
ACCGGUUCCCGAACGUUGUGAUUUUGGUCACGCAGCGAGGGACCGGUUCCUCACUUGAGAGACCGGUCUCUCACAGACCGGUCUCCUCGAGAGGACCGGUCUCUGAGGACGACACAGGUUUUUAAAAAGGACUUUUUGCAAUCCUAGUCUACUUCUAAGUCUUCUAAACAUAUAAAUAAGCUAUGUGGGUCAUCUAAAA